UCCCCAAUGGCUCAGCAGGUAAAGAAUCUGCUUGCAAUGCAGGAGACCCAGGUUCGAUCCCUGGGUUGGGAA
rnacentral:tRNA from 1 species